GCUAUUUCUGGCACUGGUAGGGGAUCAAAAGUACUUCCAUUUUCAAUGUCCAUCAGCUGAGUGAAGACAGAGCAGGGCUCACCUUGGCAGUUGCUCCAUGUUUCCUGAAAUAACACCUCAUGUGUCCUUGGUGAGCUGCAGCAGAUUCUUUUCCAGAUCUAUUAGAAAAUUAGAGUGAUCAUGAGAUCUUUCUUUCUACUGACAUCAGAUUGAUUGGCCACUGUCUUUGUACAGUCUUCUUCGUUCUCCUCAGUCCAAGGAUGUAUUUCAGAAGGCUCAGGGAGGAAUGGAGACCACAACUUUGCUACUUACAAAACCUGGGCACAAAAGGGAAGGUCUUUGGUCCACAAAAGGGAGCCCCAAGGAUUAGACAGGGAAUAUCUGAUUACUCCAGAGUAGCAAUUUAUGUUUCGGGCAUUAGUAAUUCCAUUUAGCCCUUCUCUAGGUUUGUGGUAUGUUUCUUGUUAUUUUUUCUUUUUUCUCUCUUUUUUUUUUUUUGUCCUUUUAAAUUUUUUUUUCUUUUUUUGGCAGUAGAAAAAGUGAGUAUGCUCAUGCUGUACAGUAAGUGUAGCAAUCUGUCUACAGAAGUUCUGUCCAUGCUGGACUGAGAAAAAGUGAGGUAUGGUGUGCACUUAAUUAAGGUGAAAAUAAGUUAACAGCUUGCUUAGAAUCCCAAGUGCUGAGACUUUUUCAUUUGGAGAACAGAAUACACUGUGCCACUUGUAAAGGCAAGUAAUUUGUGUACUAACUUUGUCCUUAAUAAUUUGUAUGUUCACCAGAGAUUUUAGACACCUUUAAAACAAGUUUUCGUCUGAGUUACUCCUGACUCUAACGCUCACCCAAAUCACCAGUUACAUGCAUAGGACAAUUCAACCACAGGCAGCACUUUCCAGGUGCUCAGCCUUCUUUUUUUUGCUACUCUAUUUCUGGUUGAGAGGAAACAGGGGUUUGAAUGAGAUUGGAUUUCUGCUCUUGCUCUGAAUUAUGUUAGUUAUUUCUCUCAAUGCCCAGCUUUGUUGUGAACAAUUCUGUACUGAAGGCUUUUAAGUCAUAGAUAGAGGUCUGAAUGCAACUGAAAUUCACCAGUGGCUGGGGAACACAAUGCCUUUUCCCACAAACUGACUUGAGCAAUAUUGAUUUAAUUAGAAACAGGUAUAGUGGCAUUUUAGGCAUAGAUUUAGUUGUGCUAUGUAGGUCAACUCUAGCGCUGAGCUGGAAAAUACUGGAUUGCCCCAUGGCAGAAAAAGUUGAUUUCAGACAGAAAUAUUUGAAAUCAUACACCUUAAUAAUCCAUCCAUUUUUGGGACCCCAAUAUAAGAGAGAUCCAAUCUCAAGGGAACUCAACAAGGGACCACUAGGAUUGUUGAGAAUGGGAGCAGUUUUUCUAUGAGGAGAGGAUGAAGGAGCCGGGCUGAUUCCUCCUCAAGAAAAGUGAUUUAGGGGAACUUUGGAGCCCUCCAGUGCUGAGAGGACAAAGCCAGGCACCCUACAGUGGAGCAAGGGAUGACAAGAGGCAGUGGGCACAAGCUCACUGCAUUGAUGUUCAGAAUACACUAAGUUGAACCAAGAAGCUUUUCCUGCCUUAUGGAGGUGGUCAACUAGAGAGAAUGUGCAGUCUCCAGAGAUGCCCAAAACUCAGUUACAAACAGACACUGAACAACUUGGUCUGAUCACAGCUGAAGGUUGUAUUGGAGACCUCCUGAAGUCCAGCCUGAAUUAUUCCAGGAUUCUAUAAUCCUACAGUCAGAUUUGUAUGAUGAAAUCUCUAUUAAAGUAAAAUGGGUGAUUGCCUGAAAAGCACAUAAGAAACAUGACAUUUUGCACCAUGCUAAAAGACUGUUUAGAAGCUGUUUGCUGUCAGAGCUAUACUCCAGUAAGUACCAGGGAGGUCUGUCUUGGUGUGGUAUUAUUGAAUAGUUUUGUUAAUGACUUUGACCUCUCAUUAGGACUGAUUUGUAAAAUUUAUGGAUGGCUUCCUGCCUCACAAAUACUGAACGACACAAUGAAAAUUCAAAAUGUCAGUGCUAAAUUAGACAGAUGGUUUGAUGUCAACAAGAAUAAAGUAGUGCAGGUGAUGGCAAAGUGCUUCAUGUUAAAACAGAGAAAUGGAAGACAUAAAGGCAAAUCUGGGACUCCUUGUCUAGCCAGGAUCACUCCAGUAAAGGGCCUGGGAAUAGUUGCCACAAACUGAGUAAGAGUCAUAAGUAUACAAUGCUACUGAAAAAAAAAGGGGGAAAAAAAUCUAAAAAAAGGAAAAAAAUUAAAGAAAUAAACCCAAAACCCUCCAAAAAAGUUUCAGACCAGCAUAUAUCAACAUAAACUGCAUGAAGGAGUCACUUGCAUUCAUGUGUACCUGGCAGCUGAGAGGCUUUGGGCAGAGUACUGUGUCCACCUCUAGGCACUCUACUUUGCAGACUGUGGGAAAUGGAUUUGUAGAGAAUUCUCAAAGCUUGACAGAAGGCUCACAUAUUAUGCAUCUGUAUCCAAAUUUUGAGAUAAGAAAUGUCUGGCUUAGAAAUGCCAUGGAAUAGGACAGAGAUUGUUGGGAGAGAAAUAGAACUAGAAACAAGUUUCACAGCAUGGCCUUGCAAAUAAGACUAGAUACUUCGCAGAAAUAGAACUAUGAAAGAUGCAUUGUAGUAGGACCACAAGGGGUAAGUUAAGAUGAUUAGCUUUAAGGCACUAGCAGCAUUGUGUGGCAAAAGCUGAUAGGCCAAGAAAGGCUUAUAAUGUAUUGUAAUUAAGAAAUAAUUGGCUUCUGAUUGUGAUGGCAUGAAUUGCAACAUCUGUAUUGUCUCACUCUUCACAUGAGACUAAAAGUGGAAUAAAAGUUUAUAAAACACCUCUCAGUUGCCCCAUCUCAGGGUCAGAAAAGGGCAUAAUCUGGGGCCAGUAGACAGGUUCACAUGUUGGACAAGGGAAACAACCAGAGGGAAAUCAGGUUAGACAGCCAUCCAAAGAACGGAACCUUGGGAGGAAAAAAAAGGCAGUUUAGUUUGGAAAAGCUAAAGCUAAUGGAGGAUAAAAAGGGGAAGGAGUUGUUGCAUUGUUCACAGCAAAUGUGAAACACAAAAUAGUUGUUGUAAUUCACCUCAGUGAAUGUGCAGAUUAGAUAUGAGGAAAAUCUUAUCUGUGAGAUGAGUUAGACAGUACAGCAGGCAAGCAAGAGAUGUAGGAAUGAGGAAUAUUUUUAAAAACAUAGAUUUGUGUUAUAUGAUAUAGGCUCAAGCAAUCCCUUUGGCCUCAAAGUGAUUUCAUGAAGUCAUGUCUGACUGUGCCUUGCCUCUCUGAAGGAAAUUCACUGCUACCAGAGAAAA